AAAACUAAAGCUUUGUAGAAGCAUGGACUUUUUAAUUCUAGGAUCUUAUUUUAUAAGUAGUUUUG
rnacentral:tRNA from 1 species